rnacentral:misc_RNA from 1 species
UCUUUUUACGGUCAUGCAAAUCUUCAUCAAGAACGCCGCCGGCCGCUCGGUGGCUGUGCGCGUGUCCGCCGAGGACACCGUCGCCUCCCUCAAGGCACAGGCCAACGUGACGCAGGGCAACCUCUUCUUCGCGGGCAUGUGCCUCGCCGAGGAGGAGACGCUCGCCGCUUACGGUCUGUCCAAGGAGUCCACCGUCGACGUUGUCAUCCCGGUGGAGGGUGGUAAGGGCAAGAAGAAGAAGAAGCGCAUCUUCACGAAGCCGAAGAAGCCGACGCACCGCCACAAGCUGGAGAAGAUGCGCGCGCUCAAGUACUUCAAGGUGACAGAGAACGACGACGGCUCCUACAAGGUGGAGCGCACGCGCCAGGACUGCCCGCACCCCCAGUGCGGUGCCGGCGUGUACAUGGCCCAGCACAAGGACCGUCAGUACUGCGGCAAGUGCCACUUGACCUACAAGGCGGAGAGCAAGUAGAGCGUGCGAGCAACGACAAGAGAAGGACGAAGACAAGGAAAACAGAAGGCAACGCGGCAAGACGGAGGACGGCCGCAUACCACAAUCAGAUGAAAGGACGCACGCCUGCGUGAGCAGCGUGCUGCACCCGUGUGUGUGUGUCGCCUCGUUGGUGCUGGUGUGUUGCGGUCUGUCCCAUUCACCCCUGUCUGCGUCUAUGUGUCUGCGUUAGCUCAUUUCCCCCGUUUCUUUUCGUUUUUUUUUUCAUUUCGAAAACGAAAAGGCGAACAUGAAAAGGUAUUGACCGACGUUGCAUCUCAGCCCCCGCUGCCCAAGAGCGAUGGGUACGCCGUGUGCUGCUUCCCAGUUGGCGCGCAGGAUGGGACGGCGGUCUGGGAGGCUGCGAUGUGCGCCAUGAUAGCUGUAACGGCGUGUGCGUGAGUGGGCGUGCGUGCGGCUGCUUCUCUCUCUGCGCCGAUGCACUUCCUCCUUGUGGUGGAUUUUCAUCCCCCCCCCACCCCCCACCCCCGAGGCGUGCGUGUGCGGCGGUGCGCGGUGGCUCACGCACAACACCUUUUAUUUUGUUUCCAUCGUAUGUUGCGUCGCUCGCUGCAGUUUGCGCUCUGCGCGUCUUCUCCUCCCUUCUUGCAGUCUUUUUGCCCCUUGCUUCCAUACUCCAUAG